GAUGAAGAACGUAGCGAAAUGCAAUACUUGGUGUGAAUUGCAGAAUCCCGUGAACCAUCGAGUCUUUGAACGCAAGUUGCGCCUCAAGCCAUUAGGUUGAGGGCACGUCUGCCUGGGCGUCACAUAUCGUUGCCUGAUGCCAGUUUCCUCGUGAUGGGUGACUGUGCAGGGCGAAUGAUGGCUUCCCGUGAGCAUUGUUGCCUCAUGGUUGGUUGAAAAUUGAGUCCUUGGUAGGGAGCGCCGUGAUAGAUGGUGGUUGAGUGACGAACGAGACCCAAUCAUGUGAGACCCCUACCGAAUUUGGCCUUCAUGACCCACAUGCGUCUUUGGAACGCUCAUGACGAGACCUCAGGUCAGGCGGGGCUACCCGCUGAGUUUAAGCAUAUCAAUAAGCGGAGGA
rnacentral:misc_RNA from 1 species